rnacentral:lncRNA from 1 species
CUCACCUGUUCGACUGGGGGCUGUCCUACAGCUAUUUAUUGAGAAAGUGGAUCGUCCGGUAGCUUUUGCUUCAAGGAAAAUGACAGUGGCUCAAAGGAAAAAAACAUCUUAGGAUUAAUCGACUCUGGAUCAAAAUAGAUUGAAACAGAAGUAAUGAAGGACACGUCAACCACAGCAACAUUGAGACAGAUAUUUCAUUGGUUUUCUCGCUUUGGAUUUUGCAGACCACACUGAUAAUGGUCCUCCAUUUGCAAGUGAGGGAUUCAAGACAAAAUUGUUUGAUUAGGAGGUAACCUUAUUUUCAUCUCCUCCGUAUCACCCUCACUCAAAUGGUUUGGCUGAGAGAGCCGUAGUAUUGUCACAAACCUCCUUCGAAAAAAAUCAAUCAUUUUCAAUUGAAGAGCUACUAUUUUGGUAUUUGGAAUGUGGGAAAACACCUCCAGAUCUUUUACUUUCUUUUCCCUUACAAACUCACUAUCAUGGACUGUUGCCUAAUUCCAAAAAUCAGCCGUGUCGCUCACAAUAGAAAUUAUUGCCUUGUACGACUUACCCUGCGUUGGAAGGUCAAUGAAGAGCUUCGGGACAUGGUCACUAGAGGAACAUUAAGUUGUUUGUGUCAAUAAUGAAGCCAGAUGGAAAGGUCAGGAUUUUUGCUGACUUCACACAUACUAUUUCUUCCGUGAUAAAUACUCAACUGAAUCCGCUACUGAACCUGGAGGAGGUGUUUGCAGAUCUUGCAGGAGCAAAGUUUUUCACAAAGUUUUUCUUUCACGAAGCGCUACGAGUAAUAUGCUCUCGAUGAAGAGUCUAUGGACUUUCUCGUUAUCAAUAAGUCGUUGGGUCACUUCAGGUAUAAUGUACUCCUUUAUGAUUUGCAUCUACUCCAGCAAUCGUGCAAACUGCAUAGUAGAAGUUAUUUCAAAGGUGUCAGGGUCUAUAUUGAUAAAUGUAUUGGACUUCUUGAGGAGUCAGGAGGAACACAUUAGAAAUUUGGAAGAAGUAUUUCCUCGGAUUCAAGAUAUUGGGGCAAGGCUCAAGGCAAGGAAAUGUAUCAUUGGAGUGAAUGUACUCACCUACCUUGGAUUCAGGAUUUCCAUAGAAGGUCGCUCCGUGUAUCUGGAAAUAAUUUUCUCCGUUCUCAAUUUUCCAUCUUCUACUUCGUGUACUGAAGUCAAGUCUUUCUUGGGAUGCGUAAUAUUAUGGAACUUUCAUCCCUAACAUCUCCAUGGAGGCAGCCCCUCUACACGAACUUACAAAGAAGGGUUGUAACAUUUCUUGGUCGGGAAGUGCAGGGUUAUUUGCAGAAAAUUAAAAAGGAUUUAGCCAACGCUCCUGUUCUCACACAUUAUGAUCUUUCACGUCUCCUCACACUUUCCACUGAUGCCUCACCUGUUGGACUGAGGGCUGAACAUAAACUUGAAUCUAUCAUCUGUUUGAACGGCAUGAACUGCAACCAAUAACACUUUGUCUUACAACAGACUUCAUCUUUACAAGCCCUCGAUGCGAUGAAUUCAACUCGAGUUAAAAAAUCGCAGAUACCAAUCAAUUACUGUAUGAUCCAAUGUCGCUUCUUUGGAUUUGUCCCACUUACUAAAUUAAAUAGCCUCAACUCGAACUCAAAGUUCUGAUGAGCAUGGCCUUGAGAUAGCUCUACAUUGCAACAUCUAAAUACAAACGUUCUUCAACUAUCCUAGGUAAUGUCCCUAAGGACAGGGAACUACUCAAAUCAAUUGAAGCUCCCAAAGCUGCCAGAACGGGAGAUUGGAAAGAUGUGACCAAGAAGGUGUUGUUUACCUAUAAGAAAAAUGAGUCUUCAUUGAGAAAUAGCCUUCUUUUCUGGAGAGUCAGACUCGUGGUUCCGCUCAGGUCAGGAGAAUAGCUCGAAUACACACCUCCCUCCCCUGCCUCCAAAGGAAACGCACUCAUUUAGAUUACUUAUCUUUCAAAGGAAAAAACAACUUUGUAUUAAUUGACUAUGGAUAUCAAAAUGGAUUGUAUUCAAAAUGAUGAAGGGCACAUCGACCAUAGCAACAUUGAGACAAAUAUUUCAUU